UCAGGGAAUAGUUUAUUUAAAAUAUUAAUUUUGGAAUUAAUGAAAAGGUUUAAAAUUCUCUCUGA
rnacentral:tRNA from 1 species